rnacentral:lncRNA from 1 species
GUGAAGGAGAGUGAGGGAGAGGGCGUGUUUCAGUUUUGGGAGGAUUGCUGAGUUGAAUGAAUCGCUGGUUAACUCAGUGAUUUGAUACAAGAAGAGGCGUUCAACAGGAGGGAACUUGAACCAGUAAGUGUCGAAGUAGGUGAGCGGAAGAGUGAACGGAGCCGCGGUUGUUGAGUUGGAGGAGAACGGGGUGAGUUUAGUAACCUCGUGAACUUUGACUUUGCUAUUGUUUUGGGUUUCCGCCAUGAGGCUGAUGAUCAGUAGAGAUGAAAUCAGAUGAUCAAGCAAAGAGAUACGAAGCGAUGCUAAACUGUAGCUGUUUGGUGCAUCUCUGGCUUUUGAAAACGCGUUUAAGUCAAAUUGGCCCUCGACAUUAAUUUCCCGUUAUCAUUAAUUUAUGAAUUAAAUCGUGUGGAAAAAUGGAAAUGAAUAAUAAUGCGAGUAAAUUUGCGGCGUGACGAGAGAUGGCAGUAAAAUUUGACAAAGGAGAAAGUGAUAUUCAUAUUAUUUGUCGUCAUUCAUUCACUCCAUGCUGUUAAAUUAUAGCACAAGUUAAUUAUAAAAAUAAUGUCCACAGCCCAUUAGCCCAUUGGCGACAACCCAGGUACUUAACUUUGGGUGCCAAGCUAGGGCUCAAUUUUACACAGAAUAGAGUCGGUAUUCCUCUGCUUAAGAGUCGGUUUCUUUCAGUAAUAUAUGAAUUAUGGAGACAUAAUAUUGGAGCUGUGUCUUAAAACCGCAUCAAAGACAAAGAGUCCUGAUAUGAAAUGUUAGUAGGCUGUAUUUUAAAACCACAUUAAAAACAAAUAGUUCAAUGGAUUUUUUAUUGUAAAUAUCAGUAUACUUCUGAUUGUAAUAUCAGUGUAUAAAAAAUAAUAAUAAUGUCCACAACUUUUAACACGUGACAAAUUUUAUCGGAUGAUACAUUAUUUAAAAUACAAAAUAAAUAAUGUCCAUAAUUUUUAAUAUGUGACGGGUUUUACUAGGUGAUACAUGAUUUAAAAUAUAAAUUAUAUACUUGUUUUCAAAUACUUGAUUUUGUUUUUUCUAAUGGAAGUUCGCCGUUUGUAAAUUCGCACAUUAUAAAAUUAAAUUAUUAUUAUUAUUAUUAUCUUACUAAAUCAAUAGGACGGCAGACGCUAACCCAAUAAAAACAAUCACAUAUAUUAAGUAUAAAACGUGGAACAAUUAAUCAUAUCAAUAUAUAAAUCAAACUAUUGUGUAGGCUUGAUCAGAAGUUUUUUAUUAGCUUUAUUUAAUUAAUUAUCCGGGUUCAAAUCUCAAUAUGGGAUUAAUCCACGCUUACUUUUAAAAAUUAAUAAAUUAAAAAAUUAUGAGGACAAGUACUCGAUAAUUUAUUUUUUUGUAAUACUUGCUGCUGAAAUAUAAAUCUUAAGGACAGUAAGGACCUAAAAAUUACUUUUAACUUCUACAAAUAGAUAAAUAAAUCUAUAUUUAUUGAAACACAUAAUAAUAACAUUUUUUUGCCCUUUCCACUGGAUCUUAUCAAUACACAAGUACAAUAUUGUAGAAAAAUGAGAUUGAUUGAUCAUGCAGCGAAGACGCGGGAGUAAUUUCACCUGUACUCUUUUAUUAUUCAUUGACAAUAGAAAUUCAAAGAAAUUAAACUUGUUUAAUGUCGAAGCCACGCACUCGAAGGUCAACUAAUGUUUAUCAGCCACAGCAUAAUUGUGCCACCAAGAAUGGCCAUAUGCCCUCAGGCGCUUCCCAUCUUUCUCGUCCGUUUUUACAUACAAUAGAAAUUUUGUCAUUAAUUAAUUAUAUCUGCAAGCCUACACAUAAACUUAGAAUCAAACAUUUCUUUUUAAGUACUGUGUAUGAGAGACUACGAGCUGAUUAUCUAAAAUGAUUAAAGUUAAAAAAAAGAAUAAAAUAAAAAUUGAUACUCACAAGUUGAUUGAUUGUUGGUAGCUUCCCACAGAGUCGUGGACCUCGGGGAUACAGCUGAGGCUAGGAGAAGCAUGAUAACAAAGAUCACCUGCCAAACAAGGAAGCACUUCUUUGAAGUCAUUUUCCCUUAAUAAGUUGUGUAAUACUCUUCAAGUUCAAACGUUUUUGUCUAUUUAUAGAGGCCCGUGCAACCAUGAAACUUCUUAACCACCCCGUAAGUAAUGUCAUUUGAUAAAAAAAAGGUGGAAAAUCUCAAGUAAUUUUUUUUAUUUUUAAACUAGCAAUGGGUGUAUUGAAUUGACCACUAAACCCAGCUUUCAUAAUACUCGCUUAUUUCCUUUGACGUUAAAAUUUUAAUUAAAAGAAAUAGUUUGUUUGCUGAGAUAAGUUUUUUAUUUUAAGGAUACACCCCCUGCACUUCAGCCUCGGCAGCAGUAGUAUUAUUAGCCAUGAUGAUGAAACAAGUUAAUACUACACAGAGGAAAGCAACGAAAACAAAAAAGCAGAAAUCUGCCAAGCAACAAACGUAACUUAUCAAAAGGACCAGACAAGACCAAGCAUGCCAAGACAGCACGACAAUACUGCUAACAAUAAGAUAAUCAAAAUACCUAAAUUGUAAACAUGGGGCAAAUACUUUUUCUUUAGUAAUGGAGUUGAAGAGUCGAGGUGGACAUGCGGUUUUGUGAUGAUACUGUUUUGCCAUUUUUUUCAAAUUUUAGUGAAGGAAUUUAGAGAAGGUGAUUUUAUCCAAAAAAAAAAAAGAAAGGAAAGAAAAAAAUACCAAAUAAUAAAAUUAUCUUUAAACCUUCUAACACUAAUUUGAAAGUGCCAUUAAAAAAAAUGUCUCUUUUAUUUAGAGUAAAUUUUGGAUUAACCAUUUAUAUAUUGCUAUUUUUAAAUUACCUCCCUUACUUUUGAAAACCUUAAAUUAUCCCAUUUUUAUUCAAAACAUAACAGAAAAAUGGAGGUGAGUUGAAUUCUUUUUUAUUCUUAACCAAAAGAAAAAAUGAAAGAUAAGUUGAGGUUUUUAAAAGAACAAAAAUUAAAGAUAUUGAAUACGUGGUCUAAAAUUUAGUAUUUUAAUCUGUGGACAUGCCUUUUCCAUUGAAUACUUUUCCAUGUAAAGUGGACAUCGUAACAGCUAGCUAGCACAAACAAAUAUCAACAAUUCAAGAUAUUGAUGGCUUAUCUUGAAAAAAGAAUAAAUAUGUAUAUAGGUCCGACUGUAUUGGAACAUUCUACGGUAGAAUACUAAUGAUGACUGUACAAUCAUAAAGAUAAAUAUUAAAUCUGCAUUUACUAUUAGGAUAUGAUGAUUAUCCUUAGCCAUUAGUACUUCAUGGUUGACCAACUCCAUCACAGUCACUAUCAUAUAUAUAUUAUUGAUAACAUGAUUUUACAAAAAUUAAUCUUUUUUAUUAUGUUCACACAUAUUAAUAUAAUUUCAAUAAUAAUAAAUUAUUAUGUCAAUCUAUUUGACUAAUCCCAUAGUCCUCAAGAAUAAGCAAUCUUAAGCCACUUUAGCUCCCCAAAAUUAGGAUAGGGUAUAAUUUGUUUCAAAUAGUCCAAUAUGAUAAGAAUCAAAUAAUAUUGAUGGAAAUAAAACAAUCAAUCAAAUGAUUGAUUAUUGCCAUAUUAAUUAUUGAUUAAAAAGGAUUUUUUGUCAAUUUUAUUCCUAAAUUAUGUUAAUUGUAUCAAAUACUUGUAUAAAUUCAGCCUUUGUGCUCUUGAAUGAAUAAGAGUGAAAUUUAUCUUUUCUCUAUAAUUCCAAAAAAUUUUAAUAUAUAUGAUUAGAGCGUGUUUGAGGGUCCUCAAAUUCAUGGGUUUAAGAUUAGCCAUCAUGUCAAUAAUGGAUUUAUGGAGUAUGGUGGUCUAAGUGAGAGUAAUGUGAGUUCCUUUUCAAUUGAUUUUCAAUUUCUUCAAUUGGGAAAAAAAGAAAAAAAAGGUUGUUCGGCCGCACCAUUAAUAACCACUUCCACCAUCACAAAGGAAAUAUGUCAAAAGAAAGAGGGAAUGAAAGAGAAUCCUCAAAAUUGAUAUUUUUCUUGCAAGAUCAAAUGAAUGGUUUUGUAAAUAACGGAAGAUUUCUUUCAGAAAGAUCAAAGGAACGGCUUUCAUAUUAAAAGAAUUCCUUGAUUAAAGGGUUUUACUAAUGUUUUGCAUAGGCUUAAAAAAAGUGUACAUCAAAAUAAUUAGAAGAUUUCUUAGACAAAAAGGAAUGCUUUCUAAUUAGUUACACCACAUUUGGAUGAGAUUGAAAAUAAGAAUUUAACGAUUUACAAUUUUUAGUACUUCGGCCCGAAUAUUAAAGGUUAUGAGUUGAGAUAAGGCUUAAGAAAUCAAGGUCCAUUACAUUAUGAGGCAAGGUUAGGGCCUUACCAAAAGAUUUAACCCAAUCCUUGACCCUUAAGUUAAUUUGAAAAUUAAAAAAUAUGUAACACUUAAAAUUAUUAAAACAGACACACCAAGUAGUCACAAUUGUACCUUAAGUGUAUUUGUCAUUAUUUCAUAUUAAUUUAGUUAUUUUGCAUUUGAAUUAUUUAUUUAUUGUUAGUUUGGUUAAUAUGAUAAGCUUGUUAGAUUGUUACAUGUUGUAUUGUUAUUAAAACUAAAUAAAAAUAAAUUAUUAAAUUCCUUACAAAUAAAGUCAACAUAAAAAUAGAACAGUAAGUCAGUGAUAAUACAUAAUUUUAAUUAAACAAUAAAAAUAGGAGUCCCAAAAAAAAUUAAAAAAAAAAGCCUAAGGUGGAUCCACUAGUCUACAUAACCAACAACUUUGGGUCCGCCUAAAUUACAUUUAACGUAACUUACGGCUGGCUCGCAAAAUAUUAAUUAGCCUCAUAUACUCUAUAUUACUUAUAAUUUAUUUAUAAGUAUUAUAAAACAAAGUAUAAGAAACUCAACGAAAUUUUACAAUACAAAAUAUUUGAUAAUAAUUAUAAAUUAAUUAUAAAUAACAUAGAGUAUAGGAGGCUGAAUGAUAUUUUGAGGGUCAGCCGGUAACUCACGUUAAAUUUACCUUAGGCGAACCCAAUAAAUUUAAUUAUUAUUAUUUUGAAUGUACAACACGUACUCCUUUACUAGCACGCAGACAAAAAAGUUUUGGUAUCCGGCUAAGGCAAACAUCAAAACGGCCCAAAAAGGGUAAGUCUAGAUUUUUGCCUUGCCAUGGCAAAGCAGCAUCACACCAAAUAACUUCCCGCAUAAUUGUAACAUUAAUCGUAAUUAUACUUACACGUACGUAAUUCAAAGAUCUUCUAGGCCAUUAACAUUUAACAAAGAGAGAAGCAAAAACCUCCAUUUGUUGCUUCUUCAAAACGACACCAAUCUCAACACCACCACCUCCAUCUUUACUCUCCACCAAAGAAAUAGCCCCUGUCCUGUCUACUGACACAAUCUCCACCUUCUUAGGCCUCCCCCAUCCGAAAUCGGACCCGUAGUCAUCAAAACGGUUUGACCCGGCUGCCGUUAGCAUUACAUGUCCUUUCUCUUUCAACAUCGCAAUUGUCUUUACCAUCUUAUCCUCUGAUCCUUGCACCCCAUUCCCCUUCAGCACUUUAAUCAUUUCACUUAAUUUCUCUGCAACAACAGCAACCCCAUCGUCCCGUAUCAUAUCACUUGCUUUUGCCUCCGCAAUUACACUUCCAAUACAAUUUCCAAAAUAAUUAGUAGGAACUGGAGGAUCCAGACGGCCCCUGCAAUCCCCUCCCACCGCAAACUUAACGGUUGUGUUAGCUUCUACUCGUUUGGCUUUAAUCUGGCAAACGUACGCGUGAGCACAUGUAAGCACAAAAGUCGAUAAAUGAAGUUGUUUUGAUUCCCAUGCUUCGUUAUUAAUUUUGUUAACCUUAUCUCUAAGCUUCUUUAUGUCUUCACCACUCAAUUCAAAUGUUUUUCGAAAAAAGUCGGAGCUUCCUUCUUUAUCAACCGCUGUAGCCAAAACCUUCAAGCUUCGUGUGUCGGACGAUCCGGUAAAAUCCAUCCAGUGCUUAACGUACACCAUGUCGAUCCCAUCGGGAUCUUUGAUGACCGUACGGUCAAAACAUGGGGUAACUUCCGGUGCCAAAGAAGGAUUAGCGUUGUGAACGUCUGAUGAUUGAAUUUGUUUGGAAAAAUAAGCCCAUGAUUUGAUAAACAUCGUACAACUUUUCCCAUCAAGAAGCGAAUGGUGAUACGAGACACCAAUUGAGAAGCCUUGAUUAGGAAAAUAUGUUAUUUGGAUGGCGAUUACCUCGGCUUUGUCGUCCGAUAUGGAUAACUGGGGCACCAAAGGAUUAAACUCUGCAGCAUCACGAAUCCCGCUCCCAGAUAGGAGAGCAAAAUCGGAGUUGGACUCGGCGAGUGUGAGCGAAACGCCGUCGUCUGGAAAGUAGUAGAUGGCUGGCUUAGCGGCAUCCGGAGGCCACAUCAAGUGACCAGCGAGCGGGGUAUAGAGAAGGAGAGUGAGGGAGAGGGCGUGUUUCAGUUUUGGGAGGAUUGCUGAGUUGAAUGAAUCGCUGGUUAACUCAGUGAUUUGAUACAAGAAGAGGCGUUCAACAGGAGGGAACUUGAACCAGUAAGUGUCGAAGUAGGUGAGCGGAAGAGUGAACGGAGCCGCGGUUGUUGAGUUGGAGGAGAACGGGGUGAGUUUAGUAACCUCGUGAACUUUGACUUUGCUAUUGUUUUGGGUUUCCGCCAUGAGACUGAUGAUCAGUAGAGAUGAAAUCAGAUG